rnacentral:rRNA from 1 species
UUAAAUUAUUAAGGGCGUAUGGUGGAUGCCUUGGCAUUAGAAGACGAUGAAGGACGCGACAAACAGCGAUAUUGCUUCGGGGAGUUGUAAGUAAACUUUGAUCCGGAGAUCUCCGAAUGAGGAAACUCACCCAUUAGGGUAUCAUAAAGUGAAUACAUAGCUUUAUUGAAGUCAACCCCGUGAACUGAAACAUCUUAGUAGCGGGAGGAAAAGAAAGAAAAAUCGAUUGCCUGAGUAGUGGCGAGCGAAACGGCAACAGCCCAAACCAGUCUUAGGACUGGGGUUGUAGGACACUAAUAUACGGAGUUACCAAGUUUUAUGAUAGCAGAACACUUUGGAAAGAGUGACCAUAGAAAGUGAUAGUCUUGUAUGCGAAAUCAUGAAACCUCUAUAGUGUAUCCUGAGUACGGCGGGACACGAGAAAUCCUGUCGGAAUCUGUGGGGACCAUCCCAUAAGGCUAAAUACUCUCUAAUGACCGAUAGUGAACAAGUACCGUGAGGGAAAGGUGAAAAGAACCCCGGAAGGGGAGUGAAAUAGAGAAUCUGAAACCAUAUGCUUACAAAAAGUUCGAGCCCAUUAACGGGUGAGAGCGUGCCUUUUGCAGAAUGAGCCGGCGAGUUAUGGUAUUGUGCAAGGUUAAGUGGAAAACACGGAGCCGAAGCGAAAGCGAGUCUUAAUAGGGCGAUUUAGUACAAUGCUGUAGACCCGAAACCGAGUGAUCUAGCCAUGAGCAGGCUGAAGUUGGGGUAAUACCCAAUGGAGGGCCGAACCAGGGUACUAUGUAACGUGCUUGGAUGACUUGUGGCUAGUGGUGAAAUUCCAAUCGAACUCGGAUAUAGCUGGUUCUCCCCGAAAUAGGUUUAGGCCUAGCCUUGAAUUAUUUCAUCCUGGAGGUAGAGCACUGAAUAUGGAAUGGCCGCGUCUAGCGGUACUGACUGUAAUCAACCUCCGAAUGCCAGGACUUGUAGAUUCAGGAGUCAGUGUAUGAGGUGAUAACGUCCAUACGCGAGAGGAAAACAAUCCAGACCAUCAACUAAGGUCCCUAAAUAUAUGUUAAGUGGGAAAGGAUGUGGAGACGCACGAACAGCUAGGAGGUUGGCUUAGAAGCAGCCAUCCUUUAAAGAGUGCGUAAUAGCUCACUAGUCGAGUAUCUCUGCGCCGAAAAUGUACCGGGGCUAAACAUAUUACCGAAGUUAUGGAUUUAUAAUUUAUUAUAAAUGGUAGGGGAGCGUUCUAAGGGCGCUGAAGGUAGAUCGUGAGGACUACUGGAGCGCUUAGAAGUGAGAAUGCCGGUGUGAGUAACGUAAGGUAGGUGAGAAUCCUACCCACUAUUUGACCAAGGUUUCCAGGGUCAAGUUCGUCUUCCCUGGGUUAGUCGGGACCUAAGGCGAGGCUGAAAAGCGUAGUCGAUGGACAACAGGUUUAUAUUCCUGUACUACUUAUAGGACUGAUGGAGUGACGGAGAAAGCUAGGAAGAGCCAGUUAUUGGAUUCUGGUCUAAGCGUUUAGGUUGAUGCACAGGAAAAUCCGUGAUAUCGAUAAGACUGAAGCGUGAUGGCGACGUGGUCUACGGACCGCUAAGUCUUUUGAAGCUAUGCUUCCAAGAAAAACUUCUAAAGAUAUGUUAUAAGUACCCGUACCUAGAACCGACACAGGUGGUCAAGGAGAGAAUCCUAAGGUGAGCGAGAGAACUAUGGUUAAGGAACUCGGCAAAAUUACCCCGUAACUUCGGAAUAAGGGGAGGUUUCUUCGGAAACCCGCAGUGAAUAGGUCCAGGCAACUGUUUACCAAAAACACAGGUCUCUGCUAAAGCGUAAGCUGAUGUAUAGGGGCUGACGCCUGCCCAGUGCUGGAAGGUUAAGAUGAUUUGUUAGGUGGACGAAAGUCGAUAACACCGAAGCUUUGAUUUGAAGCCCCAGUGAACGGCGGCGAUAACUAUAAUCGUCCAAAGGUAGCGAAAUUCCUUGUCAGGUAAGUUCUGACCCGCACGAAAGGCGUAAUGAUCUGGACGCUGUCUCAACCAUAGACUCGGUGAAAUCUUAAUACCUGUGAAAAUGCAGGUUACCCGCGACAGGACGGAAAGACCCCAUGGAGCUUUACUGUAGCUUGAUAUUGAAGUUAGGUGAUUUAUGUAGAGGAUAGGUGGUAGACUGUGAUGUAUGGACGCCAGUUCAUACGGAGUCGCCCUUGGAAUACCACCCUUAAAUCAUUUGACCUCUAACUUACUCCCGUUAUCCGGGAGGAGGACAGUGUCUGGUGGGCAGUUUGACUGGGGCGGUCGCCUCCC